AGUUUUGAUAGUAAAUGCAGUUGAAUGACUAAUGUUUAUUUAUUCUUACUGAAAGAAAUAACCAGAAGACAAGACAUUCAUAUUUAAGUGACAGGUAGGAUUAAGAAAGAUGUUGGUUUGUAUUUAGGCAAGAAACAACAGCUGUUAGUUUGUAGGAGGGUGUAUUGACCAACCUGCUCAUAGGUUGCCAGAUCAAAUCCACUUCAGGUACUUUGUUAUACUUCUCCUGGGCAGAAGAGUACUGUCAACAUCAGCUCAAUUAAUUUAGUUUUCUACAGAAGUGUGUGGGGAAUAGGAAUGAGGUCAUCUGGAAAUGUGAUGCGACUUGCAGUAAGCCAGGCCUCCUAUUCAAGGGAUGAUUAAUUUUUUAUCCACCUAUGAAACCCUAGAGGAUGAAAAUGUUGGCCUUGGCAUAAUUUUAACUCAGAACACAGAGACAGAAAACACUCUAAUGAUGUUUACAGACAGAGAAAUGUACAGACAAAGACAGAGAGGUACACAUUCAAUGAAACAGAAAGUAAGAGAGAGAGAGAGGUGGGAGCGACACAAGGAAAGUAACAGAGACAUAGACACUGAAACCAAGCAAUAAAACACCAGGAAAUAGAAAACUUGUUUUUUUAGCCAAUGAAUUCGGUGCAACGGGAUUUCCUGAAUGUAUUUAUUUUUUAUCUGAAAUAUUAGCAAGGCACACCUAGCAUUAUAGGAUAAUUUACAAAUAGAUAAAAGGAUCUGCAACUAAGAGGAAAUCAAGUUUAAAACAAACACUUCCUCUGUUACUUGUCGGUUCAAAUCCCACUCAUGUCAACUUAGCCUUUCAUCCUUCCAGGGUUAAUAUAAUAAAUUCCAGUCAAGUACAGAGGUUGUAUUAUAAAAUACCCCCUUCCUCAAAAUGUAUGAUCUUGUACCUAAAUUAGAAAUUAUAAUAUUAUUGUUGUUGUAAAGGCGGCAAGCUGGUAAAAUCAUUAGUACACUAGACAAAAUGCUUCAUGGCAUUUUGUCUUUACAUUCCGAGUUCAAAUCCUGCCAAGGUUGACUUUGCCUUUCAUCCUUUUGGGUUUGAUACAAUUAGUACCAGUGGACUACUGGAGCCAAUGUAAUUGACUUAACCCCUCUUCUCAAGGAUUAUUAUUAUCAUUAAGGUAGCAAGCUGACAAAAAUCAUUAGUGCUUAACUGUAUUUCUUCCAUUUCUUUACGUUUUGAGCUCAAAUCCUGCCAAGGUCAGCUUCGCCUUUCAUUCUUUUGGGGUCAAUUAAAUAAAGUGCCAGUCAAGCACUAGGGUCAAUGAAACUGAUUAAUCCCCUCCUAAAAAUUGCUGGUCUUGUUUCAAAAUUUGAAACCAUUAUUAAUUAUUAUCAUCAAAUUUUUUUUCAGGUAGUAGAUUGGCAGAAUUGUUGGAGCUAAGGGCAGAUAGUUAUAACCCUUUAUACUCUGAAAGCAAAUCUUGUUGAGGUUAACAAAGUUUUAUAUCCUUCUAUACAUUAGACACAGAUUUCACGAAGUGGGUACAGACACAACUGUCUUCACAUGAGGUACUUCAAAUUAUUCCACUAAACACGACAUUCCAAUAAGUACAAGAUCUCAAUGACUUCCUCCAGCUUCCACGAAAUCUCAACGACUCCUAUGACUUCGAUGAACUCUCAACAAUUCCUAUGGCUUCCAUGAACUCUCAACCAAUAUGCUAUUCUUUGUAAGAGUUUGGCUAGUCCAUUCUUCCACUCGCACAGGGGUGUCAAUAACUCUUGCCACAAUAUUUCUCUCUUUGAGAUUUACUCCCUAGGGAAGUUUAAUAUCUCUUCCGUUUAGGCAUUACUUUCAACCAUUCUGUUUGUUUCCUCUUUCUUGUGCUGCUACGCCUGGGUUCAUGACACUGGAACAUCAAAGGUGUCAUAGAGCACUUCCAUCAUCAUCAUCAUCAUCAUCGUUUAACGUCCGCCUUCCAUGCUAGCAUGGGUUGGACGAUUUGACUGAGGACUGGUGAAACCGGAUGGCAACACCAGGCUCCAAUCUAAUUUGGCAGAGUUUCUACAGCUGGAUGCCCUUCCUAACGCCAACCACUCAGAGAAUGUAGUGGGUGCUUUUACGUGUCACCCGCACGAAAAC